rnacentral:lncRNA from 1 species
ACUCCUAAACUUCCCCCCGCCCCUACUUCUUCGGCAGAAGGCCCACAUUGGGCGCCCGAAGCCGCGAACCUCUACCUUGUCCUACUAUUGGGCGGCUCGCAUGCCACUCGCUGCUUCAGCUGACCAAUAGCGUUUGGACAGCCCUCGUGAGGUUGCCGCCCAUAAACAAAAUGCACUCUUCCUCCUCCCCUCCGCGGCUCCUCCCCUAACUGCCCCUUCUCUCAUCUCUGUCAUCUUUGAUUGGCCUAGGAGACACCCAAUCCGCUAUCUCAAGCAUCAACUGUCUUGGAUCCCCCAGUCAUUCAUAAAGACCAGCACCAACGUCUUCCAAAUGCCUAUUCCUGUUUCUAUUUUGACUUCUUCUCAUCAAUCAUAAGUAAUGUCAAUGGAAUCUAGAGUGGUGGAUCGUGUGAAUGCCCAGGAACACUGUAAUAAAAGUGUGACAAUGGAAACAGAAGAUGUGAAUACAACCGAGGCAGACUCUUCAUCAAUGAAAGCAGCUACAGAGUCAAUAAAUUACCAGUGGGGAGCCCUCGGGUAUCAUCAGUAUAUCAAAUCUGCAUGUCUUAAAGAGAUAAAAGAAAUAAAGCAAGCCUAUCAGCUACUAGAGUAGAACUUUGAAUAUUAACUCUGAACUUUUUUUGAAAGAAGGGUCAUGUAAUGUGCAGCAAGGUGCUUAUAAUGAUUUCACAGUCUGUCACCCUCUACCCAUACCUGUACCCACACUUUUUGCCAUCAUAAGCUUUGAUGAGAAUUAAUAGACUCUGCAGCUGUCUUCAUGGAGACUUGAGGGAGAAUGGUCAAUGAUUGGUCCAGACACAGUCCUUUAUCUUCAUGAAGGACUGAUAGAUUGGUGCAGACACUCUCGCCAUAUCUUCCUUCUGUCUGAACAGACAGAACCCUUCUGUGCUGUCCCCUGAUGCUACAACAUUAGGCCCUGAUUAAAG